AAAGAGAGUCCUUGCCCUCAAGGACCUUACAUUUCCACAAGACAAAAUGACACCUACAUAUAUAAAGAGAUGCAAAUUAAAUAAAUGUAAUUGGGCACAGGAAGACUUAGCAACUGAAGUAAACAAGAAAAAGCCUCAGACCAAAUUGACCAACUAAGAAAAAGAGACUGCAUUUUGGAAAAUUUUUUGUCUUGGGGAGCUAUGAUGACUGAGUAAGAGGUUUUGGCAAAGUGAAGAAUGGAGGAAAAAAAAUCAAGCAAACAUAAACCACCAUGUGCUUCCCAUAUAUGCAGGCAACUGUAAUUUUUAAAGAUUAUUGCAAAUUAAGACUUUUUGAGGACCACUAUUCAUUGUCAGUUUUCUUGUAUAAUAAUACAGAUGUGCAGCAAAU